rnacentral:tRNA from 1 species
GAUUCUAUAGUAUAAAAUAACAUUAAAUUGCAAGUUUAAAGAUGUGUAAAAUCACUAGAAUUU